ACGGGAGGCAGCAGUGAGGAAUAUUGGUCAAUGGGCGAGAGCCUGAACCAGCCAAGUAGCAUGCAGGAUGACGGCCCUAUGGGUUGUAAACUGCUUUUAUAAGGGAAUAAAGUGAGCUACGUGUAGCUUUUUGCAUGUACCUUAUGAAUAAGGACCGGCUAAUUCCGUGCCAGCAGCCGCGGUAAUACGGAAGGUCCGGGCGUUAUCCGGAUUUAUUGGGUUUAAAGGGAGCGUAGGCGGGAAGUCAAGUCAGCUGUGAAAUGUAGUCGCUCAACGUCUGCACUGCAGUUGAAACUGGUUUUCUUGAGUGCGUAAGAGGCAGGUGGAAUUUGUCGUGUAGCGGUGAAAUGCUUAGAUAUGACGAAGAACUCCGAUUGCGAAGGCAGCCUGCUGGGCCGCAACUGACGCUGAAGCUCGAAGGUGCGGGUAUCAAACAGGAUUAGAUACCCUGGUA
rnacentral:rRNA from 1 species